UACGAAGGGGGCUAGCGUUGCUCGGAAUCACUGGGCGUAAAGCGCACGUAGGCGGAUUGCUAAGUCAGGGGUGAAAUCCUGGAGCUCAACUUCAGAACUGCCUUUGAUACUGGCGACCUUGAGUCCGGGAGAGGUGAGUGGAACUGCGAGUGUAGAGGUGAAAUUCGUAGAUAUUCGCAAGAACACCAGUGGCGAAGGCGGCUCACUGGCCCGGUACUGACGCUGAGGUGCGAAAGCGUGGGGAGCAAACAGG
rnacentral:rRNA from 1 species